AAUGUGACCUGUGGAGACUCGGCCAAGUCUUCUCUCAGACCAUCCACACCCAGAGGCUGGGUCGCGGGGCCUUCAGGGGACAGAAUGAAGGGGAGCCCUCAGAGGGAGACACUGCCGCCUUCUCAGAGUUUCAACACCUCAUAAAGUUCCCAGGAAUCCGGACUCACUUCCAGGGGUGUGAGGGGACAGGCAGAGUCUCCAGGACCCGCGCAGCCCCACACUGUCACCUGCCCCCGGAGGACAGUGGUCACAGGACCCAAGGGUGAGG